GCCGUUAAAUCGGCGAAUUGGGCCACCACUAGACUCAAGAUCCACAUGACCAAAUAGGGGAGAGCCGACAGCAACGCGUUCUGCAUAUUUCCUCGGCAAAUUUUAGACAAACAGACAACAAAAGAAAGUUUGGGGGCGAUGAAACUCACACGCUUUUCAUGUCAAAGUGGAGAAUGGUCUUCAUGUAAAUGGGCAGUUGGGUAAUCAACAUAUAAAAUGCCCAGUUGUUUCCAAGAGUGGACACCAACAGGGCCCAGCAGGGGACCGAAGUUGCAAUGGACUUCCAGGGCACUGCCAAUGCCUGGCAAUAAAAACAGCUCACAGCAUGUAAAAAAAUUCUUGGGUGCAGUUCAGGUGAAUCGUAAACCACAUGGAGCCAGGCAGCAACCACGACCACAGCCAGGGACCCUUGGAUGUAAAACACAGCCUCCCAUCCCAGGGAAUCUGCAAUGAGCCCGCUGCAAGUGAUGCCGAGAACUGUCCCCACCUGAGCCCCUGAAAAUAUAAAAGUGGUGAUGCUGCUCCUCUCCCCCGUUGGGGCCCAUUUCGCUACCAAUGGUUGAAUGGAUGGGACAAUCACCCCCUAUUUGAUUUUAAGUGUCACCUGUGCCAAUCCGAGCAGAAUUCUCCCAGCUAUGAAAAAUUCAGUUCCAGCCCUGGCCAAAAUGGGGAGGCAAACCGUGACCAGGCCAGCUGUCAUUUGCGCACCGGCGAACAUGUAUUUGGUACCGAAUUUCUCGGCUAUCCUCCCUCCGAUCAGCUGGGUGACGAUGUAGCCCCAAAAGAAGGAAACAGACACGAGCGAUUGAAUCUUCUCGUCCCACACAAACUCUCCAUCAUCCUGCUGGUCAGCGUGAGGAUAAGCGGCUUGUUCCUCUUCUGGUUGGCCGCAUUCCUGAGCCGUCGUGACGUUGGUGUGCGGAAUGGCCGUAUAAUUGACCAUGGCCACGAUGACAAUGUUGACAUUCAAGCGGACCAUGUACACGUAAAAGAAAUUGAGAAAAGCCACAACGGCCACCGCGUAACGGGCUGGAAUACCUUCCAACAUUUUCUCUCUAAAAAUCUUUUUGAAUUCACAGGGUCAUCUCAACUGUUGUGGCCACUGGUUUUUGGUCAGCCAAGUAGAGAAAACACACACACACCCCCUCAAAAAUAAGAUUGUUACCCGAGAUUGUUCCAUCUAGGGAAAGAGGGUCGUUUUCCGGUUGAAAUUGGAGACCAGCCCAUUGAUCGUUCCAAAGAUUUCAGCAGCUGGUGUUUACUACUGGACGGAGCCUCGCCGACGUGACCAACCGUUUCCUCUUCUCCCACCGUUGCCCUGUCCCAGUCUUGCCGCUCGGUGGAGCCCAGCACGAUGAAAAUGAUGGCGUUGGCGGUCAAGAUGCCGGCGCAUAGCAGAAAAGCGAUUCGCCAACGAGCCAAAGUUUGCUGGAAAAAUAAAAAAAGGAGAAAAUUGAUGUGGCGGAACUCGUCGAAA